rnacentral:rRNA from 1 species
AGUGAACGCUGGCGGUAGGCCUAACACAUGCAAGUCGAACGGCAGCACAGUAAGAGCUUGCUCUUACGGGUGGCGAGUGGCGGACGGGUGAGGAAUACAUCGGAAUCUACUUUUUCGUGGGGGAUAACGUAGGGAAACUUACGCUAAUACCGCAUACGACCUACGGGUGAAAGCAGGGGAUCUUCGGACCUUGCGCGAUUGAAUGAGCCGAUGUCGGAUUAGCUAGUUGGCGGGGUAAAGGCCCACUAAGGCGACGAUCCGUAGCUGGUCUGAGAGGAUGAUCAGCCACACUGGAACUGAGACACGGUCCAGACUCCUACGGGAGGCAGCAGUGGGGAAUAUUGGACAAUGGGCGCAAGCCUGAUCCAGCCAUACCGCGUGGGUGAACAAGGCCUUCGGGUUGUAAAGCCCUUUUGUUGGGAAAGAAAAGCAGCAGGUUAAUACCCCGCUGUUCUGACGGUACCCAAAGAAUAAGCACCGGCUAACUUCGUG